AAUAAUUUAGCAGAAUAUAUGCGAAUGACUUAGAAUCAUUAGAUAACUUUAAAGUUAAUUAUUA
rnacentral:tRNA from 1 species